rnacentral:rRNA from 1 species
UACAGAGGGCUCAAGGGGUGGUCGGAUUCAUUGGGCGUAAAGGGUGCGUAGGUGGUUGGGUAAGUCAAAUGUGAAAUCCCGGAGCUCAACUCCGGAACUGCAUUCGAUACUGCCCGGCUCGAGGAUUGGAGAGGAGACUGGAAUUCACGGUGUAGCAGUGAAAUGCGUAGAGAUCGUGAGGAACACCCGUGGCGAAGGCGGGUCUCUGGACAAUUCCUGACACUGAGGCACGAAGGCCAGGGGAGCAAACGGG